rnacentral:rRNA from 1 species
CCUACGGGGUGCAGCAGUGGGGAAUAUUGCACAAUGGGGGAAACCCUGAUGCAGCGACGCCGCGUGAGUGAAGAAGUCAUUCGUUAUGUAAAGCUCUAUCAGUAGGGAAGAAAAUGACGGUACCUGAGUCAGAAGCCCCGGAUAACAACGUGCCAGCAGCCGCGGUAAGACGGAGGGGGCAAGCGUUAUCCGGAUUUACUGGGUGUAAAGGGAGCGUAGACGGGAGUGCAAGUCUGGAGUGAAAGGCGUGGGCUCAACCCCCGGACUGCUCUGGAAACUGUACGGCUGGAGUGCAGGAGGGGUAGGUGGAAUGCCUAGUGUAGCGGUGAAAUGCGUAGAUAUUAUGAAGAACACCGAUGGCGAAGGCGGCUUACUGGACUGUAACUGACGUUGAGGCUCGAAAGCGUGGGGAGCAAACAGGAUUAGAUACCCGUGUAGUC